GCUGGGCGUGGUGGUGUGCGCCUGUAGUCCCAGCUACUUGGGAGGCUGAGGCAGGAUAAUCGCUUGAACCCAGGAGGUGGGGGUUGCAGUGAGCCAAGAUCACACCACUGCACUCCAGCCUGGGCGACAGAGCGAGAUCCCGUCUCAA
rnacentral:sRNA from 1 species